rnacentral:rRNA from 1 species
UUCGGGUUGUAACCUCUUUUAGCAGGGAAGAAGCGAAAGUGACGGUACCUGCAGAAAAAGCACCGGCUAACUACGUGCCAGCAGCCGCGGUAAUACGUAGGGUGCAAGCGUUAUCCGGAAUUAUUGGGCGUAAAGAGCUCGUAGGCGGUUUGUCGCGUCUGCUGUGAAAUCUGGGGGCUCAACCCCCAGCCUGCAGUGGGUACGGGCAGACUAGAGUGCGGUAGGGGAGAUUGGAAUUCCUGGUGUAGCGGUGGAAUGCGCAGAUAUCAGGAGGAACACCGAUGGCGAAGGCAGAUCUCUGGGCCGUAACUGACGCUGAGGAGCGAAAGGGUGGGGAGCAAACAGGAUUAGAUACCCUGGUAGUCCAAGGGCGAAU